ACAAUAAGUUAAUAACACUUUCCUAAGUUGUAUUGAUAUUAUGAAACUAGAAUUGUUUUACACUGUUAGUGUUACACAUACAGUUACGCCUAAGUUACAACUUACGGCGCCUUUGAAUUUAAACAAUGUCUUAUUUGAAUAGUUGGUAAUUCAUAAGAUGUCAUGGAAAAUUAAAUAAAAACGCGCCUUAUUUUAAUGUGUGCAUUUAAUAUUUAUGCAAAUAAAUUUGUUAUUUUGUGAAUGUUUAGAGGUAGAGCGCUGUAAUUUGUAGAAGUGGUCUUGCUGCACACACACAUUACAUAAUAAUUGUAUUUUAAGAAGUAUUACUAUUAAUCUGUAGGACACUUGGAAUAACAUUACAAUUUACAGAUGCCACAAUUUCAAUAAUAUUAUGUCAGAAAUUUGUAAUGAAAUUAUUACAUUUUGGUCUAAUUUUAUAAUGUGUUCAAGAAUUAGAAUGAAUUAAGUAAUAUGUAGUAUAUACUGUGCUAGAAAGGGUAACUAGGAGAUAGAUUGUUCAAUAAAUUUGUGAAACGAAGGAAGUGAGUUAAAAGUUUUGAACGUGUUUUCUCUGGAGCACAGAAGAAAUGGAGGUGUGACUUGACCCAAGUGUUAAAGCUUGUCAGGAGUUUUGACAAUUUGUUUAUGAGCGAUGGAAUGGAAGGUCGGAAAUGAGCUAGUGUACUGUGGAAUUUGGACUAUUUUCUACCUCAUUGCUGCUGUAGUGGUAUCACUGAAGGGACGUCAUUGUGAUACUUGGCCUGCAGCUGCGUGGUGUUAUAUGGAGUGGAUACUUUCUUGAAGUUCAAAGCUUGGAAAGGUGGGAAGUUAGCCCAAGGAGAAAGAACAAUUACAGUCGCUACCUCCCAAACCAGUGGCUCUGCAUAUUGAGCGAUGGGGAAGUGGUAAAUCAGCAUGCUAGUCUUCUUGUUCCCAGAGUUUGUGAUCGGCAGGCAAUGGUACCAGGCACACAAUGAAUUUACAUUAUUCAAUUAUGUUAAUUACAAUUAUUAAUUUGUAAUUUAUAUAUAUAUAUUACUAUAUUAGUUUAAUAAUGUCUUACCAUUUUAUUUUAUUCAUUACUCUUUCAGUAAAUGGUAGUUUCAUAAAUCUGAUGUAUUACUUUGGACCCCAGUUUGGGAACCUCUGGUUUAGGCAUUAUCUAUCAGUCCAGUAUUGUAUCUUUGGUUUUACUGCUAAUGAGUUUAACAAUAUUUCCCAGGCUUCAUUCUUGAUAACUUUUUUUGGACUUAUUUAUGACAAAUUCAUUGUUGUUUCCAUGGUUUUGUUCGGGAUAAAUUCCAGGUUGUUUUUCCAUUAUUGGUAAGUUAAUACCUCUUCUGUAAAGAGUGUGGUGGUGUGAAAUUUUCAGGGAUUUGCAUUAGUGAACUGAGGAUGGUUGAGAAGAUAUGCAACAUCAAUAACAACUGUGUCUGCACUCUCAAGUUUGCCAUAAUCACUUUAUUCAAACACCCGAGACCUUAUUUACCAUAACUUUUGUUUGUUUCUAUUUGUCAUCUAACUUAAGAUAGUUUAAGCAGAAGCUCAAAAAUUCAGGAAAACAUAGAAUAUAUUUCAUUCCAGUGCAAGAAGACUACAUUAGUAUAUUGUUAAGUUUAGGCAUAGUUUCAAAGUAUUUAUUUGGUUAUUAAUAUCGUAUAUAUUAAGCCUAAAAUUAUUUUGUUAUGAAGAACAUAAAAUGUUGAAGUAUGCUAAUCAUUUGGCUAUCCAAUUUGCCAGAUGCAUUUUUCUAUCGUCAAUGUGAUUUCUAAAUAUCAGAUUUUUUUAUUUUAAAAUGUUUUCAAAGGGAAAUAUUAUUGUGUUUUAUAUAUGUGUGUUUUUGAA